rnacentral:pre_miRNA from 1 species
GUGGUACUCCCACUGUCCGAAAAUACUUGUCAUCAAAAUGAAUAGAAGGGGAUGUAUUUAGAUGUAUAUUAGUUCUAGAUACAUUCUUUUUUAUUCAUUUUGCUGAUAAGUAUUUUCGGACAGAGGGAGUAUCUU